rnacentral:snRNA from 1 species
AUCGCUUCUCGGCCUUUUGGCUAAGAUCAAGUGUAGUAUCUAUUUCUUUGCUGAGGCUUUCCAGUUUUUUCACUGCUUUCAAGCAUGUUUGUCAUUGUUCAUGAAAGUACUUUUUUUUAAAGCUACUUUAAGAUCUU